CCUACGGGAGGCAGCAGUGGGGAAUAUUGGACAAUGGGCGCAAGCCUGAUCCAGCCAUGCCGCGUGAGUGAUGAAGGCCUUAGGGUUGUAAAGCUCUUUCGGCGGGGACGCGGUACCCGCAGAAGAAGCCCCGGCUAACUUCGUGCCAGCAGCCGCGGUAAUACGAAGGGGGCUAGCGUUGUUCGGAAUCACUGGGCGUAAAGGGCGCGUAGGCGGCCGAUCAAGUCGGGGGUGAAAGCCUGUGGCUUAACCACAGAAUGGCCUUCGAUACUGUUUGGCUUGAGACCGGAAGAGGUUAGUGGAACUGCGAGUGUAGAGGUGAAAUUCGUAGAUAUUCGCAAGAACACCAGUGGCGAAGGCGGCUAACUGGUCCGGUCUGACGCUGAGGCGCGAAAGCGUGGGGAGCAAACAGGAUUAGAUACCCUUGUAGUC
rnacentral:rRNA from 1 species